rnacentral:rRNA from 1 species
CAAAAACAUAGCCCUAGAAAUUAUCUAAGGUGUGACCUGCCCAGUGGUCUUUAUAAAAAGAUGACCCCUUAAUAAAAAGACUAAAAGGACGCGGUAACCUUGACCGUGAUAAUGUAGCAUAAUCACUCGCCAUUUAAUUGAUGGAUAGUAUGAAUGGUUGAACGAAUAUUCCACUGUCUUAGAGAGAAUUAAAAGAAAUUGAAAUGAUAGUUAAGAUGCUAUCUAAGACUGUAAGACGAAAAGACCCUAUAGAGCUUAACUAUACUCUUUUUAUUUACUAUAAAAAUAAUACUUUUAAAAAUAAAAAGAAUGGUAGUUUAGUUGGGGCGACUGUCUUCUAUAACAAACGAAGACAAGCAAUAUUAAUAACAAAUUUAUUGUAUAACUAAAAAGUUUAACAAUUACUAUAGUAGGCUAUAAUGACCCGUUUACUUUUCAUAAAAAAGCAAACGAUUAAUUGAUAAAAGCUACCUUAGGGAUAACAGGAUAAUUUCAUUUUAGAGUUCCUAUCGAAAAUGAAGUUUGUCACCUCGAU